AUGCUGAUCCCGCAUGUAAACCACGGCGCCGGGGAGUUUGAAAAUGGCUGCGCGAUCUUCCCAGUCGUCGCACGACUUCACACUGCCUUCAGCGUCUUUGGCCCUGAGGAAAUGGCUGGAGAAGCUGCCAUCCCGGUCGGCAGAAGCACAGGCUGGAGAUUGGAGCACCUGGUUCACUUUCUGGUUCUGCCUGAAGGAACUGAAAUAACGAGAGACUGUUCUCGUAGGGCUGGAUUCCAGUCAUUUUUGCUGGUGUAAAUUGGGAGAACCAUCCCCCCCCAUCCUAAGGCUGUGGGCAGUACAAGAAGUCUGGAGAAGAAGGUGGGCAGUGACAGCAAAAACUGGCCAUCUCAGUCUGCUCAGUGAGAUUUCCAGCCCAGCUUGCCAGACCCAGUAUUUCAGCCUAAUCUUCACGAUUCACAGGGAUGAGUGAUAGUGGCCACGGGCUGACACGGUGCUGGGAAGAUCUAGCUGGAAAGAAACCCCCUGCCGAACCACGUGAAACAAGAAAGAGGACAGUAACAGCCUUUUUGCUGACUGCCGUGGGCUGCGCACCAAGAACUGUGACAGGGUAACUCACGCCUCGAGGCUGGGGCUGUGCUCACGCUCCAGUGGGAGAGGAGUCUUUCUUGCUGGUGGGGACAGUGUGGCCCCUGGAGGACUUUUUUCCUGGAGGCAUGGUCUCGAGCCAGGUCUCACCAAGGCAAUAGUCCCAUGCAGCUGGUUGGCGAUCCUCUGGGAUGUCUACACAACAGGGGGAAAGAGGCCAUGUGAGCGUCAGAGCAAAGCCUAGAGAGCCUCACUGAACAGAGACAGGGCUCUUCACCAGCACAAACAGGAAAGACAGCUCCCAAGUCCUCUGUAUGAAAGACUUCACAGCAUCUUUUUUUAUCAGUUUCUACCCCAGAAGUGAUAAGAAGUAAUUUGAUAUAAUUCCAACCAAACAAUAUUUUUAUUGGUUUUCCCAGGAAAGUUCCCCUUCAUGUUUUCCAAUGAGAUCUACAUUAUUCUUUAUUUCCGGAUGCACUGAUCUAUAGCCCAGGAGGUCGUGUGCUUCCUCUCAGGUCAAGCCACGAUUCAGUGGCUUAUGCAAGAUAAGACCCUGCAAAUUUCCAGAGCUCUAUUCAGGCCACUAAACUUCAUUCAUGUGAGCUCCUACCAUACCUUUAUUUAACAGGUGUAUUUCCAGUGGAGGCCCCAGCUGUGAGGCCAGGACAUCAUGAUCUUUAUCUACUGUCAUAAAAG
rnacentral:lncRNA from 1 species